GAGUUUGAUCCUGGAUCAGAGCGAACGCUGGCGGCAGGCUUAACACAUGCAAGUCGAACGGGCACUUCGGUGUCAGUGGCAGACGGGUGAGUAACGCGUGGGAACAUACCUCUUGGUUCGGAACAACACAGGGAAACUUGUGCUAAUACCGGAUAAGCCCUUACGGGGAAAGAUUUAUCGCCGAGAGAUUGGCCCGCGUCUGAUUAGCUAGUUGGUGUGGUAAAGGCGCACCAAGGCGACGAUCAGUAGCUGGUCUGAGAGGAUGAUCAGCCACAUUGGGACUGAGACACGGCCCAAACUCCUACGGGAGGCAGCAGUGGGGAAUAUUGGACAAUGGGCGCAAGCCUGAUCCAGCCAUGCCGCGUGAGUGAUGAAGGCCUUAGGGUUGUAAAGCUCUUUUGUACGGGAAGAUAAUGACGGUACCGUAAGAAUAAGCCCCGGCUAACUUCGUGCCAGCAGCCGCGGUAAC
rnacentral:rRNA from 1 species